rnacentral:rRNA from 1 species
UACGUAGGGUGCGAGCGUUAAUCGGAAUUACUGGGCGUAAAGCGUGCGCAGGCGGCUUUGCAAGACAGAUGUGAAAUCCCCGGGCUUAACCUGGGAACUGCAUUUGUGACUGCAAGGCUAGAGUGCGGCAGAGGGGGAUGGAAUUCCGCGUGUAGCAGUGAAAUGCGUAGAUAUGCGGAGGAACACCGAUGGCGAAGGCAAUCCCCUGGGCCUGCACUGACGCUCAGGCACGAAAGCGUGGGGAGCAAACAGG